rnacentral:lncRNA from 1 species
ACCUCCUCACCCCAACCGCCUUAACCUUCCCCAAUCCCAAACCCCUCUCCUCCUCCGUAUUCCUCGCCCCCUUCUCCGCUCCCAACCGCCGCUUUACCUUCCCCGCCCUCUCCGUCAAAGCCUCCGCCGCCGGUUCCGAUCAAACCCCCUCCGUCCUCGUCUCCGCCAACGGCACCUCCUCCUCCGUCCUCUCCCCUUCUCCGGACCACGCCUCCGCCACCUCCAUCGAGGUCGACGCCGUCACCGAGGCCGAGCUCAGGGAGAAUGGAUUCCGCAGCACGCGCCGCACCAAGCUCAUCUGCACCAUCGGCCCCGCCUCCGCAG